rnacentral:misc_RNA from 1 species
AACAAUCAUAUAACUUCAGUACGACCAUAAAAUGGGAAGUGCAAUAAAACUUGAAUGGCAUGUCAUGACAACACAAAAUUUGUACUCUUUUACCCCACCCCUUCUAAUAUUUCCUAACAGGUAUUUAUUUGAGAACUAUAACACUAAAAGAUGUUCCAUUCUCUAGGGACUUUUGUAGAACCCCACCAUUCAACCACAGUAUGUGGUAUUUGUGCCACACUCUACCCCUUAAUAAAAAUCCAAACUAGGGAUAUGAAGCAUACUCUACUCAAUAAUAUUCAUGGUGAACACUUACCAACCCA